rnacentral:pre_miRNA from 1 species
ACAACAACAUUCGGAUCGUCGGUCUACCGAGCCAUAUCACCAGCUCGGUGGAAGGUCUUCUCGCCCUCGUUAAAC